rnacentral:rRNA from 1 species
UACGUAGGGGGCUAGCGUUGUCCGGAUUUAUUGGGCGUAAAGAGCGUGUAGGCGGCCAGGUAGGUCUGCUGUGAAAACUCGAGGCUCAACCUCGAGACGUCGGCGGAAACCAUCUGGCUAGAGUCCGGAAGAGGAGAGUGGAAUUCCUGGUGUAGCGGUGAAAUGCGCAGAUAUCAGGAAGAACACCCGUGGCGAAGGCGGCUUCCUGGACCGACACUGACGCUGAGGCGCGAAAGCUAGGGGAGCAAACGGG